rnacentral:tRNA from 1 species
AGUCGCUUGGUCUAGUGGUUACGACGCCUCGUUCACACCGAGGAGGUCGCGAGUUCGAACCUCGCAGUGACUA